rnacentral:tRNA from 2 species
AGCUUUAUAGUCAAAUUUAUGAUUUUAAAUUGCAAAUUUAAAGGUGGAAUUUUCCUAAGGCUU